CACGGAAGAAUAUGAAAAUAAUGAUUCAUCUAUAUUUUAAAAGAUUAGUAUAAUUACGUAAUUUUCCUACAAAUAUGUAAUAAUAGUUCGUUACUAUUUGAAAAAUAUCACCCUCGAACUAAUAUUAGGGAAAAACGCUUCCAAGCAUUGACUUGGCAAAUAUCCUUCACCCCCAUUGACUCUAGGUAAAUAAAGCACCCAUGAUUAAACAACAUGGCGGUUGACAGUAAUCUGGGUUAGCAAGAAAUGUAGACAUUCAUCUCUACAUCUUUGCAAACCACUUAGUGCUGAAUUCCCGGGGGGAAAAAGUAAAUUAGCUAUCUAUUCUACUGCUGAAAAAAACAACGGAUUUCCGGUUUCUAGUUGUUCGUUGAUCUCAACGACAGAAUGAGCAACCACUACAUUCAAGAGCCUCCAUCAAAUGGAAAGAGUGGUGCCAGAGUUCAUUGUCCAAGGAGGAGAUCCCACAGGCACCUGGAGGGUGGAGAGUCCAUCUAUGGACCGCAGUUCAAGGAUGAGUUCCACUCCAGACUGCACUUCAACAGAUGAGGCCUGGUUGCCAUGGCCAACGCAGGGCCCAAUGACAACGACAGCCAGUUCUUCUUCACCCUUGGCCGGGCAGAUGAGCUCAACAACAAACACACCAUCUUUGGAAAGGUGAUACAGUGUACAACAUGCUCAGGUUAGCAGAGGUGGAAUGUGAUCAGGAGGAAAGACAUUUCAAUCCACACAAGUUACGAACCACUGAGGUGUUACAUUCUCCCUUCGAUGACAUCAUUCCACGUGAAACAAAAGAAUCCCAAAAGGAUAAAGACAAAAAAUAAGGAACUUUAGUCUGUUGUCAUUCGGAGAGGAAGCUGAGGGGGAAGAGGAGAUGGUAACUCAAGUCAGCCAGACACUGAAGGGGAAAAGCAAAAGCAGUCAUGACCUGCUGAAGGAUGAUCCACUGCUUAGCUCUGUCCCCACAGUCAACAAGUCAGUACACUAAGAUGUAGUACAGACACCAUGUUCUGCUGCCUCAACUUAUCUUGUUUUGACAAUGAAUUAAAUUCAUGAGUUAAUAUAUGAUUUAUUUGAAUCUAUUUGUCUUGUUAUUGAAGGAGAAAAGCCAAGGUGCAGCUGGAGAAGCAGCAGAGUUAUGCUCUUAUUCCUUCAUGUUAUCUGCUCAAUCAAGACCAAAUGCAUCACAUUAUAAUGCAUUCCAUUCAACUUGUUGGAAAACACAUUUUCUCUGAGUGUUCUCCAUUCUUUCUCUCAUCUCUCUCUCACAUUCUCUUGUGUUUGGGGAGAGGAUGAUGAGGCUGCGGAGGGAGAUGCGGAUGGUGAUGAAAAGGAGUAUGACUCUGAUGAGAGGCAGGAAAUGAGGGAGAGGAUCUCUAAGAAGAUGGAGGAGAAGAAGAGUACAGACCCCAGUGAGGAGGACAGAGGGAAGAGGACCAACCGCAGGUUGAUUACACAAAAAUGAUAUACCAUCCACAGCAUAGCCUAAAUGCCUUUUACACACCUCUUUUUCAUUUGAGGAAUGUUUUCUCACAUGUUACGCUAUAAUAGCAUUGUUUACGUUACUUGUUCAUCAGUGUUCAGAGUUUAUGCCACUUUUUCUUAAAGGCCCAAUGCAGCUGUUUUUAUAUUAUUAUCAAAUAAUUUCUGGAUAACAGUUAAGUACCUUACUAGCUAGGUUUCCAUCCAAUUGUCGACAGAUUUUUAUGCAUAAAAACAAUAUUUUCCCACCAGAGAUGUGUUUCUGUCAAAUUGACUUGUUGCAGAUUAAAGGCUGUACGUGAUGAUAUAGUGCACAUAAAAAUACCUUUUGCGGUUAAAUUUCCAUUUACCCAAGAUUUUUUUAAAUUCUAUUGCAUUUUCAACUCUACUGAUGGGUUUUCUCAAAAUAUGCUGUGUUAUAUAGUGUGUAUGCCCACUCUGGUAUUGGCAUGUAAACUCUAGCCAACAGCUCACAAAUACUCUACCUGUAUAGCCUGCAUGGGAUUAUUAUGGACAAAGGAGCAAGAUUAUUUUUAUUUGUCAAAAGACAGCCAAGGAUCGAUCAUCAUGUCACCAGAAUAAGACCCUCAAUAUUUAUUGGAAAGGUGUAUCAAGCUCAUCACCUUGCACUUUCACCACCCUGUGACGUUCAUUACUGACUUAAUCUGUAGCCUAAUAAACUGCAGGCUUUCCUGAGUCGUGGUGGGAGGACCACACAUGUCA